AGAGAGAUUUUUCCGUGCGGGUUUGUGUGCCUUAACAGCAACAAAAAGUUAGGCAGUGGAAAUCAACUCAGGGGUGUUGCUAAAGUCAACUGUCCCAUCUUUAUUUUUCUUUUUUUUAAAAAAAAAAUCCACCUGGAGGAGGAGGAGCAGCAACAACUAAUCCGUGAGAAGGAAAGAAGUUAUAGGAAAAGCGCUGCGAUGGAGCCAAUACUUGGGAAAGUUGGGUUUGUGGAUGCGCGCCUGGUUUCCAAGUCGCAGGAGUCCAGCAGGGAAAGGGUUACUUUGCUUUUGGGAAGUUCGAGACACUCUCAGAAGGAUACUCUCCCUGCUCGGUGUUCACCCUCUCUAACCCUCCCCUCGCUGCCCUAUUUGUAGUUGUGUAUCUGGUAUUUGCUGUUCGAUGUAGAACCGGAGCGAAGCCAUUUUUAAGGGAAGAGUAACAUUUCAGGCAAAAGGAACUAUUCUGUCCGAUUGUUUCGGGAAACCGUCGUUUCAAACAGGCAAACUCGUGGAUUGCGUCUUCGACGGAAUAUUUCGUGUGUCCAGAUACACAUGCCUCAAUGUCCUCUGGGUUCAGCUGGGUUUGUACAAAGAGGUGAAGUCUACUGUCUGAAAGCAGAAGAGGAUUCUGCAGAAUCCUUUAAAGAAAAUAAAGAGAAAAAAUGAACCACCUUCCGAUAUCAUUUUUUCAACAAUGUCUUCCUUUUAAAAAUAUUUUUAACUCAACUUCCAAUACAGUUUUGAAUCCAGUAUAUAUGUUGGCAUGGUUGGAUGUGUGCUUUUCUUUAAUAAAUUAUUUGGAAUUUUAGGUGAAUAAAAGCAUGGCACUAAUAGUUUUGAACAUCUGUUAUAAGAAUAAUUCCAAGGGCAUUUUUUCCCAUUUAACCAUCUGCUACUACCAUGUGGAUCAAUUACUUUUUUGGCUGGGGCGAAAGGGCUGAAAUAACAUACUACUAUGGAAACUGGUUCAGAAUCAGUUACUUUGUAUACACAUCAAAAACAUUACGAAGUCUAAGGCGCUGUAAGAUUUGGACCUUCAAAUGCCUCUGUAAAACAGAAAUCAUUUAAUGCGCAAAUGCAAAAAAUAUGUAUUUUAAAGAUAUGUACAAAUUGAA